rnacentral:rRNA from 1 species
UACGAAGGGGGCUAGCGUUGCUCGGAAUCACUGGGCGUAAAGGGCGCGUAGGUGGCGACCCAAGUCAACGGUGAAAGCUCGGCGCUCAACGCCGAGUCGGCCGUCGAGACUGGGUGGCUCGAGCACUGUAGAGGCAGAUGGAAUUCCGGGUGUAGCGGUGGAAUGCGUAGAGAUCCGGAAGAACACCGGUGGCGAAGGCGGCCUGCUGGGCUAUGGCUGACACUGAGGCGCGACAGCGUGGGGAGCAAACAGG